GAUGAACGCUGGCGGCGUGCCUAAUACAUGCAAGUCGAGCGAACAGACGAGGAGCUUGCUCCUCUGACGUUAGCGGCGGACGGGUGAGUAACACGUGGAUAACCUACCUAUAAGACUGGGAUAACUUCGGGAAACCGGAGCUAAUACCGGAUAAUAUAUUGUACCGCAUGGUUCAAUAGUGAAAGACGGUUUUGCUGUCACUUAUAGAUGGAUCCGCGCCGCAUUAGCUAGUUGGUAAGGUAACGGCUUACCAAGGCAACGAUGCGUAGCCGACCUGGGAGGGUGAUCGGCCACACUGGAACUGAGACACGGUCCAGACUCCUACGGGAGGCAGCAGUAGGGAAUCUUCCGCAAUGGGCGAAAGCCUGACGGAGCAACGCCGCGUGAGUGAUGAAGGUCUUCGGAUCGUAAAACUCUGUUAUUAGGGAAGAACAAAUGUGUAAGUAACUAUGCACGUCUUGACGGUACCUAAUCAGAAAGCCACGGCUAACUACGUG
rnacentral:rRNA from 1 species